rnacentral:rRNA from 1 species
GUGGGGAAUCUUCCACAAUGGACGAAAGUCUGAUGGAGCAACGCCGCGUGAGUGAAGAAGGGUUUCGGCUCGUAAAGCUCUGUUGUCGGGGACGAAUGUGCAGUAUUUGAAUAAAGUACUGCAAUGACGGUACCUGACGAGGAAGCCACGGCUAACUACGUGCCAGCAGCCGCGGUAAUACGUAGGUGGCAAGCGUUGUCCGGAAUUAUUGGGCGUAAAGGGAGCGCAGGCGGGAAGGUAAGUCGGUCUUAAAAGUGCGGGGCUCAACCCCGUGAUGGGAUCGAAACGAUCUUGCUGUAGUGCAGGAGAGGAAAGUGGAAUUCCUAGUGUAGCGGUGAAAUGCGUAGAUAUUAGGAGGAACACCAGUGGCGAAGGCGACUUUCUGGACUGUAACUGACGCUGAGGCUCGAAAGCCAGGGGAGCGAACGGGAUUAGAUACCCCUGUAGUCC